AAUUUUUAAUCACCUGUAAAAUUCCCCGCAGGAAAUAAAAAAUUUGAUAUCACAUCAAGUGUGAUGUGAAUGAUUUAUUGUUAACUACUUGAUUUCUUAGAAAUAUUCUUAUCAAUGCACAAAGCAUUGUGUAUAUAGAAUAAUUGCAUAUAUAAAGGGGCGCGCACUACUUUUUGUCUUCAGGUGUAAUAAUAAAGUAAAGAAAAUACUUUCCACUUUUUCCCAACAAAAAAGGAAACAAAAGAAAAAUUGAAAAUGUAUUCUACGAAAGCUAUUUUACUUCUUCUCGUUUGUUUAAUUGCCAUGUUUUGCACGACAUUUGCCUGCAAAGGUGUGGGGCAAACUUGCAACUCUAACAGUGACUGCUGCAGUGGUGGUUGCAAGGCAUACUUUGGACAGUGGAAAAAAACAUGUUGGGAAAAAAUCUUUGGAUGAUUUCCUAACAGUUACUGGAAUUUUUUUUACCAUCACAUGAAGUCUUUCAACAAAUUUCUGUAAAUUUUAUUCAAAUUUAUAAAAUGUAUAAAAUUUAUUAAAUUAAUAAAAGAAUAAGUUUUUGGAUUUA